GUGAUUACUUGGGGAGGUUUUAGAUAUUGUGGGAAGUAACGUGAUCCUUGUAUCCCAGUUAUUCUCUUGUGGUUGUUCCUAGGGUUUAGGGCAAGAGAUUGAGAUUUGUAUAUUCAUUAUUCUCAUAGUGGAUUAUCUCUAGUUUGCCCCGUGGUUUUUACCCUUCACAUUGAAGGGGUUUUCCACGUAUAUCUUGGUGUUCUAUUUGAUUGUGC
rnacentral:lncRNA from 1 species